ensembl:lncRNA
AGAAAAAUAUGAUGGUUUACCUUUGUUAGCGCUUAAUGGCAUAAGAAGUAGCCUACAUGUGAAAUACUUUUCCUCUGAUCUCAAACUAUUGAGUUUUAUUUAUCGUCUAUUUUUAUUGAAUGAACAGUUCAAUUUCUUGACCAAAUGAUUGUACAACAUUAACAUUAUGCAAAAUGGUGAGGAGCAGGCCUAUUGUAUUAUUUUCAUUUUGUUAAAAUGUGGAAGUGGUAAACAACAGGAAAUUAUAUAUUUUUAAUUGCUCAUCUCAAACCAAAGCAGAAAGCAGGUUUCUCAAGUCAACGUUAACACAGGCAUUUCCUUACAGAGAUCUUUGAUAUAAAGCCACCACACACACUUUACUCACUCUACAUAAUGCCAAAACAGAAGAAGGUGUCAUGUAGAACAAAGCAAUAAAAAAAAAAAAAGCAUGAGCUAAAACCUCAGAUUCACACUCCUCACUUUAAACACAUUAACACACUGUAAACUUCCUUUUAAUACGUUGUGGUAACCCACUCCCCCAAUGUGCCGGGUUCCAGGUAGGAAUCACACGUUAAGCGAGGGUUAAGCCGCACUCGGCAUUUAUUGCAUACAUCUUAGACAAAUAAUAUGCUUGCGGUCUCUAGGGCCUCCGUGAGCCUCUAGUCGCUCGCGGACCCGAGCGCUUCCUUCUCCCUCGCUCCAGUUCCACCCAAAUGUCCGUCCUCAUGCUCCUUUUAAAGUCUCUUCCUGGCUGUCCAGCCAGGUGUCUCCCAUCUCGCCGAUUGGGGUUCCACGGGUGCUCUCCGUCGCCGGCUGGUGGAUAACGGUAGUAUUUGCCGUCCAGGAUGAAACCUCGGGUCCGUCCGGACCGAGGUUUAAGGGGUGGGACGCCACACUCCACCGCUUGAUUAGGCCCCCGGUAGUAGGGGAACCCGCCCAGGCAGGUAUCCCGUCGGGACAAGGCAUCAGCGUUGGUCUGCUCGCGGCGGUCCUGUUUGCCCUUUAGGUCCUGCAGCUCGUGGUUCCUUUCCUCCACCUUUAGCUUCUUGUCUCACAGGCGGCUAAUCUGCUUCUGGUGGGCCUCCCGGUGAGGCCUGAUCUGCUUCUGGUGGGCUAUCGGACAAUCCCUCCCGAUCAGGAGCGGCACCGGGAGGUGUGGUACGAUCCCCGCCCUAGCCGUGAACACCCCCUGCGGUGUCCGGAUGACUACGUGGCAGGUCCCGUAGGUUCGGGUGUCCCCGUGUACACAUGUCACCUCCAUGGGUGACCUUUCCCUUCCCUCCGCCAGGUCGGGGCGGAGGAGGGUGACCACGCUGCCGGUGUCCAAUACGGCCCGUGUCUCUUUGUUCAUAACCCUCGCAGGUACGGUUGGGCACCCGGACGCUUCCUGUGCCCAACAGGUCGCCAGCAUGCAGGGCCGGCC